rnacentral:lncRNA from 1 species
UAAUUUACUGAGGAUUUUUGUCUUUCUCUCUUUUUGUUUUUUUGGUAACAGCUUUAUUGGGAUCUACUUCACACUCCUGUUUAAAGUGAACAAUUCACUGGCUUCCGGUAUAUUCACAGAGUUGUGCAAUCAUACCAUAGUCAAUUCCAGAACAUUUUUAUCACCCCAGAAGAAACCUCACAUCCUUUGGCCAUCACCCGCCGGCGCUGCUAGGAAGGGCGCUGAGGCUUGUCUUCGGCGGAAGAGGAGCGAGGGAAGAGAAACUGCUCCAGAGGGAGCUGUGGAAGCAGCGCCCUGCUCAACCGCUCAGGUGCUGCUGCCGCCGCUUGUAAUCCGGCCUCUGGUCUCCGAGUCCCUCAGAACUGCCCCGUCCCCUGAAGAAGGCUCCUUUUGCAUCAUAAUCUGAGCUGCGGUUUCCUCUUGUGGUGGUGGUUUGUUUAUACGUGUCAGAUCUGAUUCUACCUGCUCUGUAUCUUUUAAGAAUUCCUGAAUAUUUCUGGUCCACUGAUUCACCGGUGGCCCCCUAUCUUUUCCAACGCUGUUGAAACUGUCUUCUUCCUCCUUUUCUCCUCCUUCUCUUUUUUCUCCUUCUUUAACAGGACUUGGGAUGUCAUGGAUUAUAUUGACGCUCCGCCACCAACUGACUACUGAUGGGCUUUCUGCAAAAAUGAGUUUUUAAUCACAGCCCUCUAGAAGAUCUUCGCAUCAGUUGACUUUUCAGCAGUAUUUGGAAGAUGGUGGUUUUACAUAUCCUUGACCAACUGUGACUUAUUCUUCUCCGACACUCGCACUAUGUUCUGAGGAGUAUCAUCAAGGAGUCUCUCUCAUGAUUUCCAUUUUUUUAUGUAAGGGUCUUCUUGUAAGGCUGCUCUAAAACAUAUGCAAUAUUGAUUAUCAACACAUACAUAUUGACAAUUCUCAGCCUAAUGUUCUGGGCUUCUGGGUGCAGUUGGACUUAGAGAGUCUUAGCAAUGAGAAGGAUGUUCUCAUAACUAGAAAGGUUCUCAUGCCAGUGGAGAAAAAUCUUGCCUUAUAGCCAAGUGGUAUUUCCUGAGUCGAUUCAUCAGUCCAUGUAACGUGGCGAUGGGACCAGAUGCUGUGGAAUGUCUAGAUCUUAAGUUUAUUAAAUGCUAACAUCACCUCGUGGAGUGAUUAGAGUGCCGGCUCCAAGGCAUUUGCCAAGUAAGAACUACAGGGAGUUUAAUGAUUCCUUCCAACUUGUUUGCUAGGAAUCCCACACGCCUGACUUUAUUCUCUUGCUUAACCACAAUCCCUUUCUGGUCUGUUACCAUUUAUUAAGAAACAAACGUGUCAGAAUGGGCUUCUGCUUUGAUGAAUGAAGGGUUGGCAUUUCAGAAAUGGGAAUAUUCUGUAAUAGGGGGACUGGCUAAGCCUAGAUGUUCCCA